rnacentral:tRNA from 1 species
UAAAUGAAAGCCAAAGUACCGAGGCGCCUAACUGUUAACUAGGAGAUUGUAGACCACACUACUCAUUUAG